UCACUUUUUUUAAAAUUCAAAAAAUAAUUUAGUAAAACCUCAAUUAAGGAACUGUCUUAAAAACUUUGUAGUACAAAUUGCAUAUCUAUUUCACUCGACUUAAAAAUUGCAGCAAAACAAAGUAUAACAGUACAUUUUUUACUGUCUAUUGUUUCUUUUACUGCCCAUGUAUUUAUGAUCAAUAAUCAACAUCAGUCCUGGUUUAAAAUGAAACAAAAGUAAUUCUUUAUUAUUAACAUAUUUUUUAUUAAACAAAUAUAACGUACAUAUUAAGUUUAUACAUAAAUCAAGCUAGAUACAAAAAAUAUAAUUAUUUACAUUGUUGCAUUAAUUGUAAAUACUCUUUUAUAUUAUGAAAAAAAAACAAUAAUAAUUUACAAUAAGACAGUCUGUGUGUAACUGUGUAAGCAUUAUAAUUAGCCUUAUGUAGUCUCUAUUUUUAGUCUUUACAUUAUAAUGUCUUUUUUAUUUUAAAAUAGUAAGACUAAAUAUAAUGCUUUUAACAAUUAUUGAUUUUUGAAUAAAAUUAGUUUCGUAUAUUUUUGUCUUAUAUUAACAUCCCUUUCAUUUCUGAUUUUGCUUUCAUGAAACAAACGAACAUCGAGAAAAAUUUCUAUUAUUAAUUUGGUUAGUUGGCUUCUACCACACAAGAAGCAGUAGCCCAUUCCCAUUGUUCUAUUAAUUAAACUACAGCAAAAGUCUUUAAAACUAAAUCACAAAAUUGUCAAUAAACGCACAAAGAUUAAAAUACAAACGAAAACACAGUACACGUGGAAAACAGAAAGUUAGAGAAAACUCUAAUCUAAUGGCGACUGCCCAAGUCCAAACUGAAAAGAAAAUCCACGCCGACGACGCGUCCAAAAAUAAAUCGAUAACCCAUCUCGACACCAUUCGGCCAAUAGAAAAGUAGCAUUUCGGCGCAUGUGCAUUACAUCCAUCUACUGAACAAGGAUGGACUUAUGUCAAACUCGAUCUUCUGUCCUUCAAUCCUGGGACAUAAAUUCUCUCAUUGCUCUUAUGGAGAGGCCGCAGUAUAUUUUAAUUAAAAUGUAUUUGGUUUUUGGUAUCACGUUGCUUUUCGAAUGAGAUUUUAAUGAAUGUAAAUGUUAGCUUUUAGCCAACUGACAAUUGAAGUAGAUAAAACCAGGAUACGAGUAUAUCAAUCUAAUGAUAAAAUUCGAUUCAAGAGGUCAGAGUUGAGUAAUUCCUUAUUUAAUGAGCAGCC